AAGAUUUGGCAUGGGUCCCCAGAUCCUCAAAAAUGUCAACAGCUGCACCAUCGAGAGCAUCCUGACCGGUUGCAUCAGACUGUAAGACACUACAGAGGGUAGUGCGUACGUACGGCCCAGUACAUCACUGGGGCCAAGCUUCCUGACAUCCAGGACCUCUAUACUAGAGGAGAGAAGACGAGAGGAGAGAAGAGGAGGGGAGAGAAGAGGAGAGGAGAGAAGAGGAGGGGAGAGAAGAGGAGGGGGAGAAGAGGAGGGGAGAGAAGAGGAGAGGAGAGAAGAGGAGUGGAGAGAAGAGGAGAGGAGAGAAGAGGAGUGGAGAGAGGAGGGGAGAGGAGGGGAGAGAAGAGGAGAGGAGAGAAGAGGAGGGGGGAGAGAAGAGGAGGGGAGAGAAGAGGAGGGGAGAGAAGAGGAGGGGAGAGAAGAGGAGAGGAGGGAAGAGGAGAGAAGAGAGGGGAGAGAAGAGGAGAGAAGAGGAGGGGGAGAAGUGGAGGGGAGAGAAGAGGAGGGGGAGAAGAGGAGUGGAGAGAAGAGGAGGGGAGAGAAGAGGAGAGGAGGGAAGAGGAGGGGGAGAAGAGGAGGGGAGAGAAGAGGAGAGGAGAGAAGAGGAGAGGAGAGAAGAGGAGGGGAGAGAAGAGGAGAGGAGGGAAGGGGAGAGAAGAGGAGGGGAGAGAAGAGGAGCGAAGAGGAGGGGAGAGAAGAGGAGGGGGAGAAGAGGGGAGAGAAGAGGGGGAGAAGAGGAGUGGAGAGAAGAGGAGGGGAGAGAAGAGGAGAGGAGAGAAGAGGAGAGAAGAGGAGGGGAGAGAAGAGGAGGGGGAGAAAAGGAGGGGAGAGAAGAGGAGAGGAGAGAAGAGGAGGGGAGAGAAGAGGAGAGGAGGGAAGGGGAGAGAAGAGGAGGGGGAGAGAAGAGGAGAGAAGAGGGGGGAGAGAAGAGGAGGGGGAGAAGAGGAGGGGGAGAAGAGGAGUGGAGAGAAGAGGGGGAGAGAAGAGGAGAGGAGGGAAGAGGAGAGGAGAGAAGAGGAGUGGAGAGAAGAGGAGAGGAGAGGAGAGGAGAGAAGAGGAGGGGGAGAAGAGGAGGGGAGAGAAGAGGAGAUGAGAGAAGAGGGGGGGAGAAGAGGAGUGGAGAGAAGAGGAGGGGAGAGAAGAGGAGAGGAAAGAGGAGAGGAGAGAAGAGGAGGGGAGAAGAGGAGGGAGAGAAGAGGAGAUGAGAGAAGAGGAGUGGAGAGAAGAGGAGAGGAGAGAAGAGGAGGGGAGAGAAGAGGGAGAGGAGAGAAGAGGAGUGGAGAGAAGAGGAGAGGAAAGAGGAGAUGAGAAAAGAGGAGUGGAGAGAAGAGGAGAGGAGAGAGGAGGAGGGGAGAGAAGAGGAGGGGGAGAAGAGGAGGGGAGAAGAGGAGAGGAGAGAAGAGGAGGGGAGAAGGAGGGGAGAGAAGAGGAGAGAAGAGGAGAGGAGAGAAGAGGAGGGGAGAGAAGAGGAGGGGGAGAAGAGGAGGGGAGAGAAGAGGAGAGGGAAGAAGAGGAGAGGAGGGAAGAGGAGAGGAGAGAAGAGGAGGGGAGAGAAGAGGAGGGGAGAGAAGAGGAGAGGAGGGAAGAGGAGAGAAGAGGAGGGGAGAGAAGAGGAGGGGGAGAAAAGGAGGGGAGAGAAGAGGAGAGGAGAGAAGAGGAGGGGAGAGAAGAGGAGAGGAGGGAAGGGGAGAGAAGAGGAGGGGAGAGAAGAGGAGAGAAGAGGAGGGGAGAGAAGAGGAGGGGGAGAAGAGGAGGGGGAGAAGAGGAGUGGAGAGAAGAGGGGGAGAGAAGAGGAGAGGAGGGAAGAGGAGAGGAGAGAAGAGGAGAGAGAGGAGAGGAGAGAAGAGGAGGGGGAGAAGAGGAGGGGAGAGAAGAGGAGAUGAGAGAAGAGGAGGGGGAGAAGAGGAGGGGAGAGAAGAGGAGGGGGAGAAGAGGAGUGGAGAGAAGAGGAGGGGAGAGAAGAGGAGAGGAAAGAGGAGAGGAGAGAAGAGGAGGGGGAGAAGAGGAGGGGAGAGAAGAGGAGUGGAGAGAAGAGGAGAGGAGAGAAGAGGAGGGGAGAGAAGAGGAGAGGAGAGAAGAGGAGUGGAGAGAAGAGGAGAGGAAAGAGGAGAUGAGAAAAGAGGAGUGGAGAGAAGAGGAGAGGAGAGAGGAGGAGGGGAGAGAAGAGGAGGGGGAGAAGAGGAGGGGAGAGAAGAGGAGAGGAGAGAAGAGGAGGGGGAGAAGGAGGGAGAGAAGAGGAGAGAAGAGGAGAGGAGAGAAGAGGAGGGGAGAGAAGAGGAGGGGGAGAAGAGGAGGGGAGAGAAGAGGAGAGGAAAGAGGAGAGGAGAGAAGAGGAGUGGAGAGAAGAGGAGAGGAGAGGAGAGAAGAGGAGGGGAGAAGAGGAGGGGAGAGAAGAGGAGUGGAGAGAAGAGGAGAGAGAGAAGAGGAGGGGAGAGAAGAGGAGGGGAGAGAAGAGGAAGGAGAGAGAGAGGAGAGGAGAGGAGAGAAGAGGAGGGGAGAGAAGAGGAGGGGAGAGAAGAGGAGAGGAGAGAAGAGGAGAGGAGAGAAGAGGAGAGGAGAGAAGAGGAGAGGGAGA
ensembl:lncRNA